rnacentral:rRNA from 1 species
AAACCGCUUAGGGGUUAAGCCCGAUGAACCCGAAUAUCUGAUGUGAGAAAUUCAAUAUUGUUUUUAUUGUUUUUAUAAUAUAAAUGGUAUGCACUUUUCUCAUAGUAAGACAUUGUAAUCCAUUGAUGAUAUAUCUCUUUGAGAUGAUUUAACAUACGGUCAAAAUGAGUUUGUUUAUUCUAUCAGUGAUGUGCUUACAUAUCAUAUGAGUAAAAUCAAUUUUGUACCCGUUUAAAUAGUCGAUGGAUUUGAUAAUAGUCAUGCUUGCAAUUCAUUUGCGUUUCGAAUUGUCAGUUUUUAAUUGAUAAUAGUAGAAAUGGCAUGUACUUGAUUUACAAUGCGUUAGAUUUGGGAUGCCUUCGGGACCCGUCUUGAAACACGGACCAAGGAGUCUAACAUAUGUGCAAGUCAUUGGGUAUAUUGUUGAAACCUAAUGGCGUAAUUAAAAUGACUAUAUUUUAAUUUGGGAUCACAAGUAGUGUGAAUAUUUGCAUUAUUUUUCAAUCCCGGGGCGUUCCAUUUGAACAUGAUGUAAGUAAUUAUGUCCUCUGUUUGGGAGCGU